UGCUUGCCUUCUCUGCUCCUGCUCACGGGGCUGCUGGAGUCACAGAACUGGGCCGGCGUCCCAUGCUCCUUUUUGUCCACCACCCACCCCUCUGCCUUCCAGAAGUUCCUCUGACAUUCAGUUUCUUCCUCCAAGGGACAGGCCACCCUGCUGCAGAAAUCAGUGCAUCUGCCACCCCUCUGUGAUUCUGUAAAUUUUCCCGGCCCCUGGACUCUGCCGUGAGCCAGCCUUUCCUGCUCUGGCCCAUUUCUGCUGCCCUGCAGCAGCCAGGACACGUCAGGUAGGUGGGCGAGAGGAAGGAUCACAGCGUGGGGGCGAGGAUGCCCGACCCCCCUCUGGUACCCGAACAAAAUAUUUCUCCCACAUUCAUUAUUACUCUUCUGUCAAAAUCUAAGUCUACAUUAAAAUGUCACAUUUCUCCUUAUCAGCUCCGGUUCUUAUGCAGUCAUCCAACAGAUUCUUUUCCAAUGUCACAGAUUAAAUAAGAUCAAUUACAUAGAGCAUUUUACAUGGUGCUUGGCCAUUGAUAUAACACUUAAUACACAGCAGCUGUCAUGAUUAGCUAUUAAUAUUCCUGAUUUACCAGUGAGUACUCUGUUCCACAUCUGACGAGGUUCAAAGGAGAACUAAUUACCUAGUAAUUGGACAUAUUAAAAACAGUGUCUCUAGAAAGUGAUACCCUUUUAAGAUGACAAGAACCAGUGCUUGUUAGGAGCAGUAGACUAUUUUGAGCAGAGCUAAAACAUAAGCAUCUGCUCUCCAUUAUUAAUGAAAGUUGUGCUUUUUGAGUUUUUUAUUAAGGACCCUCCCCUGAGCAGGCUGUGCUGUAAAUAUGUGUAUAAAUAAGGAACGUGCUACCGAGCUCAGAGAUGCUGCUUCUGUGGGAACACGCCAAGUCAGAAGCCACGAGGCAGCGUCGCCCCAAACUGCCAGGCCAGAAUUUUGAUCGAGUGCCAGCUUCCCUCUGUCCCUCACGCUUGCUGCUUUCCCUAGAUGCUCCGUCCAGCACCAGAUUGCCUGUGGCCUCUCAUGCCACGCUCCUAAUGGAGGUCAGAUGUAAGACGCCUGGGCGUUCGCCCUGAAGGAACCGUUUAAUUGGAAGCCCAACAGGCCACAGUAUGGUGGUGCGGGAGGAAAGGGUUCCAAGUCGCCUGCGUGGGUUUGUCACCCUUCCCUGGCAGUGUCACCUGGCACCUAUGACCUCUUUCUGAGCCUGUUUCCUCAUCUGUACAAUAAGAAUAAUCCCUCACAUUUGUAUUGUCUUUUAAUGGUAGAACGAGAAAAAACAUUUCAUGAAAUGGUACCCAGACGUUACGCCUGAGGCUUCUGAGUGAUGACGACGAUGGUGAUGGUCGUGACGGGCUGCUUCAUCGUGGGCUGGGCUGGGCCACCUAAGAGGAUGCUUUGGCCCCUGGGGCCAGGAAAUAUUGCAGUUAUAAGAGGAAGAAAGACACGAAAGGUGUUUGGGCAUCGGUCUCCCCAUGGCCUGCACUGCGUUCCCUCCAAACGCAUAUGUUGAAGCCCCAGCCCUCAGUGUGACAGCGUUUGGAGGUGGGGCCCUCACGAUGGGAUCGGUGCCCUUACAAAGAGACGCGGGAGAGCUUGCCGAGUGAGGACUCAGUGAGGAGGAGUCUGUGACCCAGCCCCCAGAACUGCGCGGAAGGACAGCUGUGUGUUUACACCUCCCGGUCUAUCGUAUUUUGUUAUUGGCAGCCUGAGUUGGCCAAGACAGUUUCUAUUUCAAAACUUACGGAAUGUUCAUAAACCUUUGUAAGUAGGCAUUUCUGUUAUAGUUGUGUUCUGUUCUAAACCUUUUAAAAUAUAUUUUACUUGUAAGUAAUCGAAA